GACGAACGCUGGCGGCGUGCUUAACACAUGCAAGUCGAACGGAAAGGCCUCUUUCGGGGGGUACUCGAGUGGCGAACGGGUGAGUAACACGUGAGUAACCUGCCCUUUACUUUGGGAUAACUUCAGGAAACUGGGGCUAAUACCGGAUAGGAGCUCCUGCUGCAUGGGGGGGGAUGGAAAGUUUCGGCGGUUGGGGGUUGGCUCGCGGCUUAUCAGCUUGUUGGUGGGGUAGUGGCUUACCACGGCCUUGACGGGUAGCCGGCCAGAGAGUGUGACCGGCGGCAUUGGGACUGAGAGGCGGCCCCGACGCGUACGGGAGGAAGCUGUGGGGAAGAUUGAACAAGGGGUGGAGGCCUGAUGCAGCAGGGCCGUGGGCGGGAUGACGGCCUUCGGGUUGAAAACCGCGUUCGCGCAUGACGAAGGUUUGUGUGACGGUAGUGGGUAAAGAAGCACCGGCUAACUACGUG
rnacentral:rRNA from 1 species